CGUCCUCUCUUUUCUAUAUAUGGAAGAGAGAAUACUGUCAAAUUUAAAGGCAUUAACUGACGGGAAAGUAUGUUGUUGUAAGAUGAAAACGGAGACGAUGGAAGGCUAUCUGAAAGACAGCAAUGUUGGUGUCGAUCUCGUCGUUGGAGGAGUAGUGACGCCCACUGACACUGCCAAUCACGAGCUUGCUGCUCAGGCAAUUUGAGGAAGGUACGCGGUUAAUCCAACCAUGCGAGGGUGGUAACUCACGCUGCCUAACCAGGUCAUCCGAAUCUGAGCUUUCUGAAAGUGGUUCAGUUGGAGAGGGUGUCUAUAAUUCAAAUCCUAGUGGUUUUUUUACACUUGGCAUUGACUCCCGCGAUGAAAAUGAUGAGGUUGACCAGCAACACGACGGGAUACGGGUAUUGGUCUAGAGCUUCUGUCAGCUGGUUUUUAUCGAGAGAGGAUACUCGUGGGAUCCUUUACAGAAAUCCUUCAAUUAUAUCUGUUCAUCAUAUAUUGUGCGGUUAAUUUUUGUAAGUUACUAUUUAUAUUCAAUUUUAAAUAAAAAAAUUUAUAAUAAUUUCUGACCGCACGAUGUACGACGAACGAAUAUAAUUGGAAGAUUCUCAGAAUCCUUACAAAGAAGAUCCGAAGAGAA